rnacentral:rRNA from 1 species
UACGAAGGGGCUAGCGUUGCUCGGAAUCACUGGGCGUAAAGCGCACGUAGGCGGCUUUUAAGUCAGGGUGAAUCCUGGAGCUCAACUCCAGAACUGCCUUUGAUACUGAGAAGCUUGAGUCCGGGAGAGGUGAGUGGAACUGCGAGUGUAGAGGUGAAAUUCGUAGAUAUUCGCAAGAACACCAGUGGCGAAGGCGGCUCACUGGCCCGGUACUGACGCUGAGGCACGAAAGCGAUGGGGAGCA